CUGAACCAGCCAAGUAGCGUGAAGGAUGAAGGCUCUAUGGGUCGUAAACUUCUUUUAUAUAAGAAUAAAGUGCAGUAUGUAUACUGUUUUGUAUGUAUUAUAUGAAUAAGGAUCGGCUAACUCCGUGCCAGCAGCCGCGGUAAUACGGAGGAUCCGAGCGUUAUCCGGAUUUAUUGGGUUUAAAGGGAGCGUAGGCGGGUUGUUAAGUCAGUUGUGAAAGUUUGCGG
rnacentral:rRNA from 1 species